rnacentral:misc_RNA from 1 species
CGUCCUCAGCGCCAUCACAGACACGCACGCGAAGCUGAGCAAGAGACGGCCCAAUACAUGGAUGCACGGUGCGCCUAUACGUGGAGCUCCCUCUCCCUGCAGUCCCUCUCGCCUCCCGUAUCAUAGCCACGCAGCACCGAUCCCAUUUCUAGCCAGGAGGUGUGUCAGUGGGCAGCCGUGCAAUGCAGUCACGCGUGCGCUUGCUGUAUCUGGAGUUCAUGUAUCUCCUCCCUCAGCUCAAGGGCUUCUACAGCCCACAGGGCGCUGCGGCGGCUUCAAAGGCGCCCGCAUCUGGCAUGGCGACCUCGAAGCCCUUCUACCUCCGUUUACCAACUAGCCACCCCGCAUGUGAGUCACUGCGCAGCGCGCACGUUACGGAGCUGAGCAGUCAUCGCCAGGGCAAGCGGCCCGCUGGUGCAUCGCCAACGCACGCCACUGCCACAGACGGCGAGGCACCGCCGCCUCUGGUUGAUGUGAGCACGGCUGUAAACUCUGAAUCGUGCGUCGUCUUCAAGCUGCAGGGAGACAGCGAGCGGGCCCUCGUGGCACCCUUCAUGCCCGCCAACUGGGACAACAGCAUUGCAAGGAAGCCAUCCCCAUCACCGGCAGGGCAACGAGCGCCUGCGGCGGAGCGCGCCGCUGAGGCCGAAUACCGUGCUCGUGUGCAACGUCUGUUCUAUGCAAAUGCGCUCGUGCCUGUGGGCAGCCCGGAGUGGAAGCGCUGUCUCGCUCGUGGCCGCUAUGAGGUGCGCAGCGUCCACAACGUAUUGCACGUGCGCAAGUACCGCGCGCUGCACAAGCGGUACAGCUGGGCUUCGCAGCUCUCGCGCACAGAGUUGGAGGCGGCGUGGGGCGGCAGUGUGGAGGACGUGGAACAAGCGCUUCUGGGGUUGUCUAACAGGGACGUGUACGGCUACUCGGGAAGCGACGCCGAAGCAUCAGAGGAGGCAAAGGGCGACGCGAAACGAGAAGAGCAUGCUGCACGGUCGUAGAUGGCACGUGGAAUAUGCGGCGCGUUGAACGUCGUCUGCGGCUUCGCGCUGUUUCGCAAGUUACUGUUGCGCCUUCCUCUCUUUCCGUCCUCUACAUGGUUUCUCGCUUACAGACGGCCGUGCGAACGGCACUGUGGCCUCGCGGCUCCCGUGCACUUGCGCGGUUGUCUGCUGGAGUGCUUGCGCACGUGCCGCAUCUUUCAGAGCAGGUGCCUUUCUCCGCUCAGCUCUGGCGCCGCCAACAUGCUUCGUUUUUUUUCUAGGCAGCGCGUGUGUGUGUGUGGGGGGGGGGGGGGGGUAGAUGGAGGUGAGGAGGGGGUCGCCACUGUCUGCGUUCUCUCUCUGUCUUUGUCUUCCGCCCUCACCCCCCCCCACUCCCACUCCAUCCUCUACCCACGCUCGCGACUGCAUGCAACGCUGUGCAGGGCUUCCUUUUUCGUUUCCUCGAGCGCUGGCUGGCGGUGGCGGCAUCAGCUGGUCGGCGCCUUCACCUGCGUCUGCACGGCGGCGUCCGCCUCGCGCGCCUGGCGCUGCUCAACUCCCUAUGGCCUUUGACGCAUGUCUCCUCGUUGUCCGCGCGCACUGUGGCCGCCGCCUUGGAAUGCGCCCCCUUCGCGCACACACGCACUUGUGCACAGAGGCGCUUGCGAGCGUGCUUGUGGCCUCUCGAACCUCCCCCCUACCACACGCGCACGCACACCCUUCUUGUUCUUCCUGCUUCUUUUCAAGGGCGUGCUGGCUACAACGCACUGGAAAAGACACAGCCUGUGGAUGUUGUGCAUGUGGCCCACUCGCACCUUGUGCGUCGCUGGGUACCC